CAGCCGCCGCGGUAACACGAAGGGUGCAAGCGUUAAUCGGAAUUACUGGGCGUAAAGCGUGCGUAGGCGGUUUGUUAAGUCUGCUGUGAAAUCCCCGGGCUCAACCUGGGAAUGGCAGUGGAUACUGGCAAGCUAGAGUGUGUCAGAGGAUGGUGGAAUUCCCGGUGUAGCGGUGAAAUGCGUAGAGAUCGGGAGGAACAUCAGUGGCGGAGGCGGCCAUCUGGGACAACACUGACGCUGAGGCACGAAAGCGUGGGGAGCAAACAGGAUUAGAUACCCCAGUAGUCCCUGUCUCUUAUAC
rnacentral:rRNA from 1 species